rnacentral:snRNA from 1 species
AGCUUUGCGCAGUGGCAGUAUCGUAGCCAAUGAGGUUUAUCCGAGGCGCGAUUAUUGCUAUUGAAAAGACAUAGGGUAACAGAAUGGAUAAGGAAACAAGAUCCAUCUAUAUCCUGUUUACAAG